UACAUGGGGUGCAAACGUUUGCUCGGAAUUAUUGGGCGUAAAGCGCGCGUAGGCGGUUACUCAAGUCGGAUGUGAAAGCCCUCGGCUUAACUGAGGAAGUGCACCCGAAACUGAGUAGCUAGAGUACUAAAGAGGGUCGCGGAAUUCCCGGUGUAGAGGUGAAAUUCGUAGAUAUCGGGAGGAACACCGGUGGCGAAGGCGGCGACCUGGGUAGAUACUGACGCUGAGGCGCGAAAGCGUGGGGAGCAAACAGG
rnacentral:rRNA from 1 species